ACCUACGGGACGCAGCAGUAGGGAAUCUUCCACAAUGGGCGAAAGCCUGACGGAGCAACGCCGCGUGGGUGAAGAAGGUCUUCGGAUCGUAAAACCCUGUUGUUAGAGAAGAAAGUGCGUGAGAGUAACUGUUCACAUUUCGACGGUAUCUAACCAGAAAGCCACGGCUAACUACGUGCCAGCAGCCGCGGUAAUACGUAGGUGGCAAGCGUUAUCCGGAUUUAUUGGGCGUAAAGGGAACGCAGGCGGUCUUUUAAGUCUGAUGUGAAAGCCUUCGGCUUAACCGGAGGAGUGCAUUGGAAACU
rnacentral:rRNA from 1 species